CCCGGUGAUUAUUUUAACGGCCGCAAUUAAUAGUUGUGCUAAGGUAGCGUAGUCAGUUGCCCUUUAAAUGGGGGAAGGUAUGAAUGGUUUGACGUAGGAAUUUCUGUCUCUUUUUUAUUUAACGAAAUUUUUUUCUUAGUGAAAAGACUAAGAUUUUAAAAUUAGACGAGAAGACCCUAUCGAGCUUAAUAAUAAAGGCUAUAAAUACUUUUUAUAAAUUUGGUUGGGGCAACAAAGGAACAUAAAAAGAUUCCUUUAAGAUCCAAAAUUUUUGAAAAAAAGAAAAAGCUACCGUAGGGAUAACAGCGUUAUUUUUUCUGAGAGGACAAAUUGAAGGAAAA
rnacentral:rRNA from 1 species